rnacentral:rRNA from 1 species
AUUGAACGCUGGCAGCAUGCCUUACACAUGCAAGUCGAACGGUAACGCGGGGCAACCUGGCGACGAGUGGCGAACGGGUGAGUAAUGUAUCGGAACGUGCCCAGUUGUGGGGGAUAACUGCUCGAAAGAGCAGCUAAUACCGCAUACGACCUGAGGGUGAAAGCGGGGGAUCGCAAGACCUCGCGCAAUUGGAGCGGCCGAUAUCAGAUUAGGUAGUUGGUGGGGUAAAGGCUCACCAAGCCAACGAUCUGUAGCUGGUCUGAGAGGACGACCAGCCACACUGGGACUGAGACACGGCCCAGACUCCUACGGGAGGCAGCAGUGGGGAAUUUUGGACAAUGGACGCAAGUCUGAUCCAGCCAUGCCGCGUGUGGGAAGAAGGCCUUCGGGUUGUAAACCGCUUUUGUCAGGGAAGAAACGCUCUGGGUUAAUACCUCGGGGUAAUGACGGUACCUGAAGAAUAAGCACCGGCUAACUACGUGCCAGCAGCCGCAGUAACAC